UCCGGACAGUGAACAUCCAAGAAGAAUUUAAAUAUAAGCGUUGAAAACUUAUGUGGGUGAAACGCUAGAAUUGACUGGAGUUCUUCGACAAGAAAUGGGCACUUGUCUUUGCAUAGACAGCAACAAUGUGCCUCCGACAGUCAGCAAACGUUACUCUGUACAAGUUCACUGUAAACAAAAUAAAAACCUGCCAAGCACUGUGGCGGCACGGGCCACGGAACUUUUCAACGGCUCCGGAUGCAAAGCGCGACGCCGCCAAAGCGCAACACCGACGUGCCCAAUGUACCAUCGAUAUCUUCACACUCCUUCCGCCGAAUUCUCGGAAGAGCAUACACGUGCC